UCAGAGCCACAGCGGAGGGAGACGAGGUGCUCUCCCUGCCAGUGUUUAUGUGAGCAGGCAGUCAGUCAACCAGACUCCAUUACUCUGAAGGACCUGCCACUGAAUCAAGCCACUGUGUUUACAUGGAAAUCAGGAAUGUCAAACGGACUGACAGCCGAGACCAGAGUCAAAACUCUAAAGCUAUAUUUUAUUUUGUAUUCUUUAUUCUGAUCCCCAUCAGCUGACUCUUAAGCAACUUCUGGUCUUCACUGGGGCCAUAAAAAAGACAUUACAAACACGAAAGCCAAUCUGUAGAAUGUGAGAAGUAGAUGUAUGUAUGUUGAUGUGUGUAUGAUGGUUAGUGAGGUGUCAAUGUGAGAAGUAGAUGUAUGUAUGUUGAUGUGUGUAUGAUGGUUAGUGAGGUGUCAAUGUGAGAAGUAGAUGUAUGUAUGUUGAUGUGUGUAUGAUGGUUAGUGAGGUGUCAAUGUGAGAAGUAGAUGUAUGUAUGGUGAUGUGUGUAUGAUGGUUAGUGAGGUGUCAAUGUGAGAAGUAGAUGUGUGUAUGAUGGUUAGUGAGGUGUCAAUGUGAGAAGUAGAUGUAUGUAUGUUGAUGUGUGUAUGAUGGUUAGUGAGGUGUCAAUGUGAGAAGUAGAUGUAUGUAUGUUGAUGUGUGUAUGAUGGUUAGUGAGGUGUCAAUGUGAGAAGUAGAUGUAUCCAUGUUGAUGUAUGUAUGAUGGUUAGUGAGGUGUCAAUGUGAGAAGUAGAUGUAUGUAUGUUGAUGUGUGUAUGAUGGUUAGUGAGGUGUCAAUGUGAGAAGUAGAUGUAUCCAUGUUGAUGUAUGUAUGAUGGUUAGUGAGAUGUCAAUGUGAGAAGUAGAUGUAUCCAUGUUGAUGUGUGUAUGAUGGUUAGUGAGGUGUCAAUGUGAGAAGUAGAUGUAUCCAUGUUGAUGUGUGUAUGAUGGUUAGUGAGGUGUCAAUGUGAGAAGUAGAUGUGUGUAUGAUGGUUAGUGAGGUGUCAAUGUGAAGCCAGGAGAAACCAUCCAGUCCCAAACACUCCUCUAGAUGACGCAUUUAGAAAGUAUUGGUGCUUAGUAUGUAGAAUGAAGGAGUAGACUUUCAAAUCCACAUUAUUAGAUCAUUGUUUAUUCUGUAAAUAUCAUAUUUAUAUAUUUGUUGAUCUGUAGGUGCAGUGAUUUUGUGAAGUUUUGUGAAAAGGAAUCAAUGAAGGUGUGCUUUCUGUGUAAUGUUUAAUAAUGGCAGUUCUGCUACUGUUUAAAAUAAUAUACCAUUAGUUAUAAUUCAGUUAUCUUGUUCUUUUUGUUCAACUCGUCUGCAUUUAUUUCACCACACAAAAGAAAAACAGCCAAUGUGUCUACAUUUCAGUCACAACCUGCAAAUCAUCUGUUUUUGAAUUUGCAAACGCAGUUUCUUGCCAGUCAGUGGAUGUUUUUACGCUCUUGUGUAAAAUAACAAAUAAAUGCACAAAACUGUU